UACGGGGGGGGCAAGCGUUGUCCGGAAUUAUUGGGCGUAAAGAGCUCGUAGGCGGUUUGUCGCGUCUGCUGUGAAAACUCGGGGCUUAACCCCGGGCCUGCAGUGGGUACGGGCAGACUAGAGUGCGGUAGGGGAGACUGGAAUUCCUGGUGUAGCGGUGAAAUGCGCAGAUAUCAGGAGGAACACCGGUGGCGAAGGCGGGUCUCUGGGCAGUAACUGACGCUGAGGAGCGAAAGCGUGGGGAGCGAACAGG
rnacentral:rRNA from 1 species